GAAAUUAGAGGAAGAGAGGAGAAAGGUAAUGAACAUGACAAUGUAACAAUACCAUAUUUGAAAUAACAAAAAAAUUGUAGAAAUGAAGACUCGAAGCUCUGGGAAACUGGAUUAUUCGAGCAUCUUCUGGCCACCGUAAAAAAAAUCCGAGCACUCUCUGACCAACGCCAAAAAUUGGAUUGUCAAAUUCUAAACCAGGAAAGGCCUAUAUCUCUGCAGAUACCGGUGGUUAAAUUGUAGAAAUUGGUUCCCAAAAGCCCUUAUUUCAAUGCUUGAACUAUGAACAAAGAAGUGUUACCUUAUGAAACCAAUAUUAGAUGGAAGAAUCAUGUAGAGAUUGCUCCCCAAAAGCCCAAACUUCAAAUCUUUAGAGCAGAGGUUGGGGGCGAGUGGUGACGAGCAAAAUCAAAGUUAUUCUAGUUAGCCGGGGCAGAAGCAGCGGCUGCAAUGGUAGAGAAACAGGAAAUGUGCUAAGACAGAAAGAAUGACUUUCAAAAGAGCAGCUGUCACGGUCAUCAAGGUCAUUAAUUGAGGCCACAGUGGUGGUGGUAGGAUCCAGAAGAAAUGAUGAUUGAACGAAGGAGGAGAAGAAGGUGCAGAUUUUC
rnacentral:lncRNA from 1 species